rnacentral:rRNA from 1 species
CCUAUCAGCUUUCGACGGUAUGGUAUUGGCUUACCGUGGCAGUGACGGUUAACGGGGGAUUAGGGUUCGAUUCCGGAGAGGGAGCCUGAGAAACGGCUACCACAUCUAAGGAAGGCAGCAGGCGCGCAAAUUACCCAAUUCUAACAGCAUAAGAGAGGUAGUGACAAGAAAUAACAGUACAAGGCAGUUAAAAUGCUUUGUAAUUGGAAUGAUAGAAAUUUAAAUACUUUUUAAAGUAUCAAUUGGAGGGCAAGUCUGGUGCCAGCAGCCGCGGUAAUUCCAGCUCCAAUAGCGUAUAUUAAAAUUGUUGCAGUUAAAAAGCUCGUAGUUGAAUUUCUGCUAGAAAUAACCGGUCUGCUUUUAUUAGUAAAAGUGGUAUCUUGGUGUGAUUCUAGCAAUAAUGUCCUUUGAAAUGUUUUUUACUUUAUUGUAAGAAGCAAAAUUCAGGAUUUUUACUUUGAGAAAAUUAGAGUGUUUCAAGCAGGCUAACGUUUUGAAUACUGCAGCAUGGAAUAAUAAUAUAGGAUUUUAGUUCUACGUUAUUGGUUUUAAGAACUAAAUUAAUGAUUGAUAGGGGCAGUUGGGGGCAUUUGUUUUG